rnacentral:rRNA from 1 species
CAGUAGCCGCGGUAAUACGUAGGUGGCAAGCGUUGUCCGGAAUUAUUGGGCGUAAAGGGCUCGCAGGCGGUUUCUUAAGUCUGAUGUGAAAGCCCCCGGCUCAACCGGGGAGGGUCAUUGGAAACUGGGAAACUUGAGUGCAGAAGAGGAGAGUGGAAUUCCACGUGUAGCGGUGAAAUGCGUAGAGAUGUGGAGGAACACCAGUGGCGAAGGCGACUCUCUGGUCUGUAACUGACGUUGUGGAGCGAAAGCGUGGGGAGCGAACAGGAUUAGAGACCCGUGUAGUCCCUGUCUCUUAUAC